AUCCCAAAUAAACUUCUAUCUGUUUAUUUGAUUCAUGGGAGGCAUAUAUUGAUAUUGGGAGUUCGCUGAUAGCACCUUACUUUUUUCCAGGGGGUGUUUCAAUAGUACCUCUCCAUACACAA
rfam:Solanum tuberosum cultivar DM 1-3 516 R44 scf00060_47, whole genome shotgun sequence.